rnacentral:rRNA from 1 species
ACCCGCUGAACUUAAGCAUAUCCAUAAGCGGAGGAAAAGAAACUAACAAGGAUUCCCCUAGUAACGGCGAGGGAAGCGGGAUGAGCUCAAAUUUAAAAUCUGGCUGGUUACUAGUCCGAAUUGUAGUUAAAGAAGCGUUUUCGGUGGCAGCCUGGGUAUAAAUCCUUUGGAACCAGGGUAUCAUAGAGGGUGAGAAUCCCGUCUUUGACUCCAGUGCAUGCUACUAUGUGAUACGUUUUCAAAGAGUCGAGUUGUUUGGGAAUGCAGCUCAAAAUGGGUGGUAAAUUUCAUCUAAGGCUAAAUAUUGGCGAGAGACCGAUAGCGAACAAGUACCGUGAAGGAAAGAUGAAAAGAACUUUGAAAAGAGAGUUAAACAGUGCGUGAAAUUGUUGAAAGGGAAACGCUUGACACCAGUCAUGCGAGCGGAAAAUCAGUCUUUUGCAGUGGGGAGUUGUGUGGGUUCGGACCGCAAGGCCGGCCUGCGCUGCAUCUCUGCUGUAAGUGAUGCACUUUUUCGUUUGCAGGCCAACAUCAGUUUCUUCUGCUGGACAAAACUCUUGAGAAGGUAGCAGCUUUGGCUGUGUUAUAACUCUUGAGCGAUACAGUGGAGGGGACUGAGGUUUUCGCAGCGCGUGCUCUCGGGCAAGGCUGAUUGGGUGCUAUGGGAUCGUUCGGUGUACAAUGCUUGCAUUUUGCGCCGUGUCUUUUCUGUACUCGCUCAACUCGGCUCUUCCGCGCCUAGGAUGUUGGCUUAAUGGUUUUAAUCGACCCGUCUUGAAACACGGACC